rnacentral:lncRNA from 1 species
GCACCUUUUGUCUCAGAAGGCCUGUGAUGUGGCGGUUCCUAUUCUUAGGCACUUAGGCAAAGACGUGACUGUCCAUCCAGAGCUAGAGGACUGGAUGGCUCUCUCACUCACACAUGGAAGUCUAUCUUUUAGUGUGUGAAGUUCCUGGUGUAUACUGCUGGAUGGGAGUGUGUCCCGUUUGUUGUUCCUAAAUAAUUAAUACAGCAAAAGUCCACUGUACUGUAAGUUGAGUCCCUGUCAUUCUUCUCAAGAACUUGCUUUGUUAGCUGCAUCCCUGAAUCAGAGAGCAGUUCCUAGUUCAUUCAGCUUGAUCUUCAGCAUUGGCUAUUUCAUCCUUUUGGGCCUUUGGGUAGCACAGGUUUGGAGAGAUGAUCGGGUCUGGUCUGCGAAAAAUAAAUUAAGUUUAAAACACUUCCUUGGGAAUUAAUGAGUUGAUUCCACCAUAUUUUUAAAAAUGAGUUCAAAAGGCCCAUAGACUAUCAAUAAGUCUUUGGUGGGCUACUGGGACAUUGUUAUUUGGACCUAUUUGUGAUUAUUCUAAAUUACUGUUGGGCUGACAAUUUGAAUUGAUAUCAGGAGCAUCUACAUCUUUUUUUUUUUUUUUAAUUUUUCUUGCUGGCAUCUUCCAGGUGUGAAGGAAGGCAGACUUUGCACUUGAGGUGCUAUGCCCAUCUCCUUAGCGCCCAAGCCAGCGCUGCUUGCCCCAUCCGUGGCAACACCUGGUGAUGAUUCCUUUAGAGAAUCAAAAUGCAUCUUUCCUAGAUGCCAAUGUGGGGCGAUGGGAUCUGCACAGCCUCUUGUUCUCCAGGCCAUUAGUGUCUGGCUGCAGGUGGAGACCAUCUGAGCGGGCAAUCCGGACACCUGCAGAUGAGAGACGCUACAUUCAUCUGUAGACUUUGUGUUUGAGUUUACAGUUAGGAGAAAUGGGACACCAUUAGUCUUUUUGGGCAAGCAAAGGUGGGGUUUUUUUUGUGAAUGAACAAACCCUGCCCCUAGUCUUGGAGCACCCAUCCUUGUUGCACGGGCGGGUCCAUUCCCUAACCCUUGACCAUUUUGCAUCAGUGUUGUUGGAUAGAUAGUGUUGCAAACAAGAG